rnacentral:rRNA from 1 species
UACGAAGGGGGCUAGCGUUGUUCGGAAUCACUGGGCGUAAAGCGCACGUAGGCGGACUUUUAAGUCAGGGGUGAAAGCCUGAGGCUCAACCUCAGAACUGCCCUUGAUACUGGGAGUCUUGAGUAUGGUAGAGGUUGGUGGAACAGCAAGUGUAGAGGUGAAAUUCGUAGAUAUUUGCUAGAACACCAGUGGCGAAGGCGGCCAACUGGACCAUAACUGGCGCUGAGGUGCGAAAGCGUGGGGAGCAAACAGG